ACCUUUACGCAGUGGCAGUAUCGCAGCCAAUGAAGUUUAUCUGAGGCGUGAUUACUGCUAAUAAUGAAUAAAACAGAAUACUAC
rnacentral:snRNA from 13 species